rnacentral:rRNA from 1 species
AGACGUCUACAUUAGAUACCCGCGUAGUCCCAGCCGUAAACUAUGCGCGUUAGGUGUAUCGGUGACCACGAGUCACCGAGGUGCCGAAGGGAAACCGUGAAACGUGCCGCCUGGGAAGUACGGUCGCAAGGCUGGAACUUAAAGGAAUUGGCGGGGAGCACCACAACGGGUGGAGCCUGCGGUUUAAUUGGACUCAACGCCGGGAAGCUCACCGGAUAAGACAGCGGAAUGAUUGCCGGGCUGAAGACUUUGCAUGACUAGCUG